rnacentral:rRNA from 1 species
UCGAACCCUGCAAAGCAGAACGACCNGNGAACACGUAAAAACAANGAGCGUCGAUUGGAUUAGGCGCUUGUUUGAUCCUCUCGACGCUUUGUCGACGCGCAUUCACUCNNNGUUCUUUUGGACCUUGUGANNNNNNCGUUGGCGCAUUAACAACCCCCGGCACAAUGUGUGCCAAGGAAAACUAAACUCUAGAAGGCUNGUUUCAUGUUGCACCCGUUCGCGGUGUGCUCAUGGGAUGUGGCUUCUUUAUAAAUCGCGUCGCCCCCCACAGUUCUCCGCAAAGGGAACUGUUGUUUUGGGGGCGGAUAUUGGUCUCCCGUGCUCAUUGGCGUGGUUGGCCGAAAUAGGAGUCCCUUCGAUGGACGCACGAACUAGUGGUGGUCGUAAAAACCCUCGUCUUUUGUUNNGUGUGCCGUUAGUCGCAAGGGAAACUCUUNAAAAACCCCAACGUGUCGUCUCUUGACGAGGCUUCGACCG